UCAAGACUGGACGAGAUACUCUAGUAGGAGU
rnacentral:piRNA from 1 species